rnacentral:rRNA from 1 species
UACGAAGGGUGCAAACGUUGCUCGGAAUCAUUGGGCGUAAAGCGCACGUAGGCGGCCUCAAAAGUCGGAUGUGAAAUCCCACGGCUCAACCGUGGACGUGCAUCCGAAACUGGGAGGCUUGAGUACUGAAGAGGAUCGCGGAAUUCCCGGUGUAGAGGUGAAAUUCGUAGAUAUCGGGAGGAACACCAGUGGCGAAGGCGGCGAUCUGGGCAGAUACUGACGCUGAGGUGCGAAAGCGUGGGGAGCAAACAGG